rnacentral:rRNA from 1 species
AUUGAACGCUGGCGGCAGGCCUAACACAUGCAAGUCGAACGAGUGGCGGACGGGUGAGUAAUGUCUGGGAAACUGCCCGAUGGAGGGGGAUAACUACUGGAAACGGUAGCUAAUACCGCAUACCAUCGGAUGUGCCCAGAUGGGAUUAGCUUGUAGGUGAGGUAACGGCUCACCUAGGCGACGAUCCCUAGCUGGUCUGAGAGGAUGACCAGCGACACGGGAACGGAUACACGGUCCAGACUCCUACGGUAGGCAGCAGUGGGGCAUAUUGAACAAUGGGCGCAAGUCUGAUGUAGCCAUGCCGCGUGGAUGAAGAAGGCCUUCGGGUUGUAAAUUACGUUCAGCGGGGAGGCGUUACCCGCAGAUGAAGCACCGGCUAACGCCGUGCCAGCAGCCGCGGUAAUAC